UACGUAGGGGGCAAGCGUUGUCCGGAAUUAUUGGGCGUAAAGAGCUCGUAGGCGGCUUGUCACGUCGGUUGUGAAAGCCCGGGGCUUAACCCCGGGUCUGCAGUCGAUACGGGCAGGCUAGAGUUCGGUAGGGGAGAUCGGAAUUCCUGGUGUAGCGGUGAAAUGCGCAGAUAUCAGGAGGAACACCGGUGGCGAAGGCGGAUCUCUGGGCCGAUACUGACGCUGAGGAGCGAAAGCGUGGGGAGCGAACAGG
rnacentral:rRNA from 1 species